rnacentral:rRNA from 1 species
GACGAACGCUGGCGGCGUGCCUAAUACAUGCAAGUCGAACGAACCGCGACUAGGUGCUUGCACUUGGUCAAGGUGAGUGGCGAACGGGUGAGUAACACGUGGGUAACCUACCUCAUAGUGGGGGAUAACAGUCGGAAACGACUGCUAAUACCGCAUAGGACAUGGGAUCACAUGAUUCUGUGAGGAAAGGUGGCGCAAGCUAUCGCUAAGAGAUGGACCCGCGGUGCAUUAGCUAGUUGGUAGGGUAACGGCCUACCAAGGCGAUGAUGCAUAGCCGACCUGAGAGGGUGAUCGGCCACAUUGGGACUGAGACACGGCCCAAACUCCUACGGGAGGCAGCAGUAGGGAAUCUUCCGCAAUGGACGCAAGUCUGACGGAGCAACGCCGCGUGAGUGAAGAAGGUCUUCGGAUCGUAAAGCUCUGUUGUUAGAGAAGAACAGCGCAUAGAGUAACUGUUAUGCGUGUGACGGUAUCUAAACAGAAAGCCACGGCUAACUACGUG